CUGAACCUCAAAUUCAGCAACCCUAGAGGACUCUGAGGUGUCCCCCAGGAUCCCGUUAGAGUCCCAGUAAUGACGUUUGGCUUCCCAGACAGACUUCUGAACCUACUGAGAAAUAAGCAAAAGAUCAAGUACUUAAAGACCAAAAUAUCAGCUUUUUUGCUGACAAAGAGCUGAUGUGUAUCUAUUAGCAAAAGGAAACAGCUUUAGGAGCUGCCAUUUCCAGGCCAUCCAUGCUGGGCCGUGGAGUUCCCUGGUGGCUCAGGGGGUUAAGAGUCCAGUGUGGUCACUGCCGUAGGGCGGGUUGCAUCCCUGGGCCCAAGAGCUUCCUCCCUGUGCAGGGCAGAAGCUGCCCUGGAGCAGCCGAACCGGGCAGGUGCUCACAGAAAUGAACCUGCUCCCAGGGGGAGGUCUCUGGCCUCAGCCAGACUCACAGUUUUGCUUCCCAAAUUCACAAAGGAGAAAGUCCUGGCCGGGGCUCUUCCUUUCCCUCAAAGUCUUCCUGAGGCAAAUGCUGAAAGAAUGACAGUUUCCUUCAAGAGGGACAUCUGGUGGCCCUUGGAUCUGUUCCAUUCUGACGCAGUGGUCAGAUCACCGCUGGUCCAUGCUUUCUGGUGUCAACCGAACACCCAAGUUGCAUCCUGGCGUUCACACCUCCCACAGCUGCAGUCACUUCUUGGUCUGCCUGACGCCCAGCCCCACACACCCCAGCCGUCAUCUGCGGGCACCUGGGGCACUGCGGCUGGAGCUCAAAUUGCAUCUUACGCCCCUUAAAUGAUACGACCUCUUCCUCUUCUGUCCUUGUGGAGACACGUUCUGUUGGCCGUUUCCACAGUUUGUAGACUUCAGUGUCAUUAGGUGUCACAUGGACCCAUGACAAUAAUAAACGGAAAACCUGAUCAUUGUGUGGGAGCUUUAAGUCUGUUCCAUUUAAAUGAGUCAUAUCAUUAAGUAAAUACACAGUUUCCUGUAAGCCUUUCAUCGGUUACAUAAGUACCAGGGCAGUUCACUCUGACCCUGAGUUUUGUUACAGUUUGGUCCUUGUUCUGCAAAAUUUUCAUUCUUGGAUUACCAGUUUUCAGGGACACCUGCCAAUUCCUCCCUUUGCCUUCAGUUCUCUGAGCAUUGAGAGUGUGUGUGUGUGUGUGUGUGUGUGCUGCGUCCCAGUCUUACGAACUGAAGGUACCUUUCCUGUUUUCCAGCAACCUGAAUCGAUGCCAACCUUCCACUGGGCUCCCCUGUUGGUGUGGGGGGUGUGCCCUGCUGGCUGCUCCAAAGCUUUCCACUGGGCUUUGCAGGCUCCGCGAUAAGGCAUGUGGCACUGGAAAGAAACAGAACCUGCAGACCCUUCAGAGGCUCGGCCUUCUCCUCGGCGGACUGGGCUGCUGGGCAGAGGUGUAGGAGACCCUGGCUGCUCCUCCGUGCUGCUGUCACAUUCCCAGUAACCCUCCCCCGUCCUCCACUGGGUACCCACCUCCCAUGCUUCAGGACUCGCUUCUCUCUCUCCUCCUGCCCUGUGAAUCCCUCCAGGGCAAAACCCCUGUUCUGCUCUUGCGAUCUAGUCCAGCCAGCUCCUGACUUCUGCAGGAGCUCAGGUAAUACCUGAGGGAGGGGAAGGGAAGGUGGGAAGGCGGUGAGGGAGGCCAGAGGGGACGGAGCAGCCCCAGCCUCCUGAACAAGCUGCGCUCGGCAGCAAGCCGUUCCCCACGUUUCCCACUGUCGCCUCCUUCCUCUCCAUCGUUCCCAGUCCAUCCAUGUCACCUCCAUGUCACCUCCUCACUCCCACGUGCAUCCACAUCACCCCCUAGUGCCCCGCCCCAACACCCUUCCUCAGGGAGCCCCCAGGCAGCACACGGACACAGUCACACUCUGUCUUCUGUCCCUGCUUUGCCUACUUCCUGGCUCUUCGUCACCUGCAAUUCUUUCAGCUGCUUGCUGGUUGUCGUCUGUCCCCUGCACUAGAAUGAAGCUCCGGGAGGUACCACAGCUUCGUGUCUGAAACGGUGCCUGGCUCGUGGGAAGUGUUCAUGAGCUUCGAUGGAAUGACUAAAUGGAGGAGAAGCGGGAAGGGAGGGUCCCCCCUCCCUUUUGCCCCAUUAAAUACACUUUAAAAUGUGGCGUGUGGGGAGUUUUCCUGUGGCUCAGCAGGUUAAGGAUCCAGCAUUGUCGCUGCCGUGGGUCAGGUGGCUGCUGCGGCGUGGGUUCCAUCCCUGGCCCAGGAACUUCCACAUGCAGUGGGCGUGGCCAAAAAAAGUGGCCAUGGGCACCUCCCCAGGGGAAAAGCAAGUGUUCUUCUGCCCUCUGUGACCUGCUCCUGGUCUUCCGUGUAGACUGCGGGGUCCCAAGGCACCCGGGUGGGAAAACAGGUGAGGGAACGGGCUCUGGUCCUGAGACCGUCCCAACCCCACGGCCGUGUGCAGCCAAGGACGGGCUGAGCCUCUGGAGGGUGAGGGGACCUUCACGGACCCUAAAGCCGAGGUCAAGGUCACUUUAGGUCCACGGUGGCCAGGGAGCUGGCGGCCUGGUGAGGGCCUGGAGCUGGACCCGGGAAGCCAGGCGAGGCUGCAAGGCUGCUCCUCAUCCGCCUGCACGGUCCUCCUUUCUCCUUCAGCCUGGCACCUGCUUCCUUCCCCCUCUCAGCGCAGACUCUGCCCAGGCACCAAACGCGCUGCUUGAGAGGCUCAGAGGCCCAUCUCUCAAUUUCACGGGCAGCGUCUAAAGGGUCCAGGGUGGGUCACAUGUCUACACCUCUUCCGGUCAGCUGUGAGUGCGGUGGGGGCCACACUGUAUGGACAUGGCAGCUGGCUCAGGGUUCAGAGAAGAGGUGCGUGGCUGGGGGUCACCCCAAGAGACAUCUGCCUUGGGCAGCAGGUGUUGGGCUCCAGGCUCCAACCGUAUCUGAGAAGCAGUUUUUGUCAUUUCCUUUCACCUGUCCAGCUAUUUCCCACAAUCGCCCCACAAUCGCCCAGCACUGGAAGCUCAGGAUCUAAGAGGCUGCUCUCAGAGAUAGCUGCUGGGUCACUUGGGCACUGAACACGCGUUUCCAGUGUCAGAGGACCUAAAGCACAAUCAGCGACAGAGAAACAGUUAUCGCCCUAAGGUGGCCUUAAGCCAAAUGCUACGGAUGUCCGUGGGCGACUUUCCACCUUCCUCUUUUUGCUCCUGGGCCUGAGAAAACAAUUCCUGGAAUGUACCCACUGAGGCCAACCGCCCCAACCAAACAAGAGAGUGUAUCUUGUGUGGACCCAAAAUGCACCUUUCCGUGGGGAAUUGUGAGGCCAGCUCGCACAGCCUUCUGCUUUCUCGAUGACUCCUUCUGACUCACCCAGGUAGCUGUCUGGCUCUUUAGCCCAGGGGUAUGGGAUCCAAGAUGACAGCAGGUGAGAUCACACUUUGGGUUUUUGGAACACUUGGUAUCUUUCAACUGAUUUGCCUUUGAGCAAACUUCUCUCAUUGUGGGGAGCCUGUUCGAUGGUUCAAGGCCUGAGGAGGGGGCUAGCGACAAGGUGGCCCCAGAAGAGGAUCUGCUCUGCCCUUUAAUGUGAGGCCUUCACAACUAUGGACAGAGGCGUAUUUCCUAAUAAUGCAGAUGUGUGUCAGUCAUUGUCCUGCCUCCUUGCAAGGUUUGGGGCCAGUUCUGCCUUGUCACAUGGUACCUGCCCAGUACCUGCCCAGGUACUCCUCCAGGAAGACUUCCGUGGUUUGUGCGAAGAGUCCUGGGCUGGUGGAAGAGAGCUUUGCACGUGGAGAGGGUGCAGCCGAGAGCCACACAGAAUCCUGCGGCACAGGCGCUGGCCUCGGGACCUAGCUGAUGGCCACUGUGAGCGCAGCCCGCGAGCAUCCUCAGCACAGGUGCACAGGUCGUCUCAUCUGGGGUCCGGGGUGCGAGCACAGCCGUCUCUCUUCCUGUCCUCCAGGGCCCCUCUCUCCCCAUCCCGCGGUCUGUGGACGCCAGGAGAGGAGGGGGAGACCCCCCUUUGCAAGUCUGCAGUUAUGCGCCCGCCUCUUUCUGUCUUACACCUUUACCAGUGACUUUGGAACUUAAAAACUACAAAUUUGCCUCCUUUAUUCUCUGGUUUAAGAAUGGGACCUUCCCCCAAAGCAGUGGAGGACUCCUAGCUAGUUCUUGGCUAAGACAAAGACCCUCAGGGGGCAAGUGAAUAAAAUCAGAGAGCCCAGAACAGGAAGUAAGGAGCAGGGAUGGGUGGACAUUGGGGGGAUGUGAGAGCACAGAAAUAAUUCUUUAAAGUACUACCCCUCCCCGUGGGAGCCAGGCACUGUGUUCUGAAUACGAGGCUUGUUAUGACGGCGUUGUGUGCUCCCGUUCUCCUGGUUUCAUGAAGGCCGUAGACAGACACGCGAACCUUGAAGGGAGGACAAAGCACGAAAAAUACCAGCACCGUUCAAGAGAAAUGCAAUGUGACUCACGUAGGGAAUUUUACAUUUUUUAAAAACAAGUGAAAUGAGACAAGUGACAUUAAUUUUAAUGAUAUAGUGUGUUGAACCCCAUGUAUCUGUAAGAGCACCAUGUCAAUGUGUGAUCAAUAAAAACAUUAACAAGGAGAUAUUAUACUUUUUUUUUUGUCCUAAGUGUGGGAAAUUCCAUGUGUGUUUUAUAUUUAGAGUAUAUCUCAGUCUGAUGAGCCGCAAGUGCCUGGCGAUUGCCAUAUGGGCCAGGCAGUUCCACACUGUCUCUCAAAGUUUCCCAACCCACGGGCCUGCGCCCCAGUUGCCCACGGUGGUAAAUUUCAUAUUAGUGUGCGCUCUCCAGACUUCGUCCCCGUCCGCAAAUGACUUCUCCACUUUUACCAGUGCUCCCUGCCAAUCAUCUGCCAAAUGAAGCACACACACUCAAAAGUACGCCUCUGGAGUUCCCUUUGUGGCUCAGUGGAAACGAAUCUGACUAGUAUCCAUGAGGACGCAGGUUCAACCCCUGGACUGGCUCAGUGGGUUGGGGAUCCAGUGUUGCCAUGAGUUGUUGUGUGGGUCACAGAUGUGACUUGGAUCCUGUGUUGCCGUGGCGGUGGUGGAGGCUGGCAGCUGCAGCUCCGAUUAGACCCCUAGUCUGGGAAUUUCCAUGUGCCACGGGUGUAGCC
rnacentral:lncRNA from 1 species